ACACACAGCAUUUACUUCGGUUUGGUGGCCUUUCUCUCUAUAUAUCAUAACAAAAACACACACAAAAAACCCAAUUCAAAUCCCCUUUUUUCUCUCUUUCUUAUCGCACGGAAGAGUCCGUUAAGCUCAGGAGGGAUAGCGCCGUGUCAAUCGAUCGACGUUGUUUCGUUACCUCAUUCUUUUCGGGCGCUAUCCAUCCUGAGUUUCCCGGCUUCUUCUUGCUCUUUUUUUAGUUGUUGCUCGUCGUGGAGGAGAAAAUGCACAUCGUAUUGUUCUAUCGUAUCAUCAUCGUCAUUUGUUGCUUUGGAUGUCAAUUUGAUGGUGCGAGGCUUUUUGAGAAUUCUCGAUGCAUCAUGUACGUGUGCUGGAAGAACUUGUAUUGAGAUGUGGAGAUAGUCUUCACUCUUAAAAACGAGGAAUAGAGCAACAUGACCAUGCAACAAGAGUAUGUCCGGGCCAUCAAGUACCAAUUUAGAUUCUAAAUCGUGAUCCAAAUCAUAGACAUGUUAAUAUUUUUGUUAAUGGUGUUAAUUGUAAUUCUAAUCUAAAUUACUUGUCGAUGACAUUUUACUUAACAUCUAAAGGUUGUAACAUGAUAUAGCUCAGAGUUAAUCUAAAAAAUACAUAUUUUAA